rnacentral:rRNA from 1 species
AGCCUGAUCCAGCAAUACCGCGUGUGUGAAGAAGGCCUGAGGGUUGUAAAGCACUUUCAAUGGGGAGGAAUACCGGCUGGUUAAUACCCAGUCGUUUGACAUUACCCAUACAAGAAGCACCGGCUAACUCCGUGCCAGCAGCCGCGGUAAUACGGAGGGUGCAAGCGUUAAUCGGAAUUACUGGGCGUAAAGCGUGCGUAGGUGGCGCGUUAAGUCAGAUGUGAAAGCCCCGGGCUUAACCUGGGAACGGCAUUUGAAACUGGCGGGCUAGAGUUGAGUAGAGGGGAGUGGAAUUUCAGGUGUAGCGGUGAAAUGCGUAGAGAUCUGAAGGAACACCAGUGGCGAAGGCGGCUCCCUGGACUUAAACUGACGCUGAGGUACGAAAGCGUGGGUAGCAAACAGGAUUAGAUACCCUGGUAGUCCACGCUGUAAACGAUGUCAACUAACCGUUGGGCUUCUUUUAGGAGCUUAGUGGUGGAGCUAACGUAUUAAGUUGACCGCCUGGGGAGUACGGCCGCAAGGUUAAAACUCAAAUGAAUUGACGGGGGCCCGCACAAGCGGUGGAGCAUGUGGUUUAAUUCGAUGCAACGCGAAGAACCUUACCUACCCUUGACAUCCAGAGAAUCUGUGAGAGAUCGUAGAGUGCCUUCGGGAGCUCUGAGACAGGUGCUGCAUGGCUGUCGUCAGCUCGUGUUGUGAAAAUGUGGGUUAAGUCCCGUAAC